rnacentral:lncRNA from 1 species
CCUGCAAAACUCGCAGCAUUAUCAACAUUCAUGUUAGGAUACAUUUCAAUUCAUGAAAUAUAAAUGAGAGGAGAUGAUAACUAAUUAAUUAAUUAAAAAGCCAUGUUGGCUGCUGACCGUUGUUUGUUUCAGUAAGGUCUCUAGCUGCCACUUCCGAAGAAAUGGAAAGAACAAUCACAGAUAAAACAGCAAGGAUGAGAAAACUCUUGCAAACCGAACCCAUUUUUGAUUUUUGUUUUUUAAAUCAAAGUGAACAAUCCUGGAUAAAAGUGUUUGGAGAGUUAAGAAUGCUUAAACAAAGGCAAUCUACGUCUCUAUUUAUACGCCCCAAUCAUCAACUUAUAUGCAUAGAUAAGAAAAUGUGUGAGCGUAAUUAAACAUAAAGAUUUGCCUGUCGACCACGCAAUGCAGCUGGCAGUUGAAGAGUCGCCAAACUAUUCAACUUGGACUUUGGAAAGUGAUUGGACCAAAAAGUGGAAGUAGCAAAGUUUAUGCCUCUCACUAACGUAACUCUACAUGAAUAUUAUUAAAUCACGAUUUGUGAUGGAUGUGGAAAUGCUCUCAUCUGAAAUUGCUAGUCACAAAACCGGUGAACCUCUAACAUCCGGGAUAGGCUACCAAGAAAAUGAGAUUGAGGGAGGAUGAUCCGCCAAAAACCGUGGUGGUUUAUGAUGGACCUCGUAUGUCCUUUCAACAUAAACUAGUGAAUGGAGAGAUAUAUGUUCUCGCAGGUUUCGAGCAUGGUAUCUGACUGUUGGAGGACGAUAUCAAAAAAAGAUACUAUGAAGGGUGUCCCAUUGAUACGAUUCUCGGAUCGCCUCCACUUCUUGAUAGAAAAAAAAGUGUGAUCAAGACGGUGAUUUUUUUUAAAAAAAAUUGUCACAAAAUAGGUUUUAAUGCUCUUUAAAAUAAUACUUUCGUCUGAUGGAAGCCAUCCUUUAACUUUCAAUUAAUGAAUUUGGAGAACAACUACAUGGCAAAAUUUGCUCCGAUUGAGGAUUAUAAAGUGCUUGCAGGCGGGCUGUGAGUAAUAUUUGAGUAUUGUAUGACGGUUCAGACAUCAUAGUUUCCCGUAUCUAAAGACCGGUGGAAUGGAGAGAUCUACAAGACUUAGGUAACUCAAUAUUAAAUCAUGAUUUGUGUAUUUGUAUACUACUUAUAUAUUUUAUCAUAGGUUAAAUACGCUUUUUAAGUCCUUAUGCUUUUAUUUUGUGGAAUAUAAUUCCUCAUUUUUUUAUUUUAAAAAAUUUAGUCUAUUUAUUUUUUAAAUUUAAAAAUGUAAAUUCAGCCGUUAAUAAUGUUAAGAAUUUUUUAUUAAAUUUAAGUUUUUUAUAAAGUUAUUUUUUAUUGUAUGACUAUUAAUUUUAUUCUAUUUUAAAAUAUUACACGAACAAAUUUAAUAAAAACAAUUUAAUAAAAUUAACAAUUUAAUCCGAAAUUUUUUAAAAAAUAGAAACUAAAAGUAUUUUGAAAACUUGGUGGAUGGAAUGGAAAAAGGAGAAACAGAAAGAAUAUAAUUUUAAGAGCUCCUUGGUACAAUAAAAAAUGGAAUGAAAGAAAAUGAAAGGGAUGAGACUUCUUUCGCACCAUUUGUCCAAAUUGAGGGAAAGAAAAGUUUUAAAUUAUGUGAUUUUAAGUAUAACAUAUAAAAUUGCUCUCGAUUAAAGUAAAAUACCUAAUUUAAUGGGAGGGAUUCACUAAUAUUUAGGGUAAAAUUUAGGUAGUUUUACAUUAUAUAUUUAUAUUUUUUUUUAUGAUUAGUAUUUUAGUAAUUUAAUUAUUGAACUUAUCAAUACAAUAAUAUUUGUCAUACAUGUAAAAUUUUUAAUUAAUCUGAUAUCUCUAUCAUAUCGAUCUAAAAUAUUAUCUAUAUCUAUAUAUUUAAUGGUAGAAAGUUUUUGACAUAAAAUAAAUAACUAGAAAAUUUUAAAUUUGCCAAACUUGUCAUGCAUGAUUUACAUGAAUUGAACAUGAAAUACAACGGUUGAAUUAUUAAAGUAGUGAUCAUAUAAAAAUUACAAAAAUAUAUAAAACCACUUAAAUUUUACACCUAUUUAAAUUGCUAAUUACAAAACUUGGUAUUUCACUUGGAUGUGAUGGCUCUUGAAAAUUUACUAAUUUUUAUAUUUAGUGAAAUACAACCAACAUUUGAAAUUUGUAUCAUAUUUAAAAUUUUGAAAUUGAAAAUUAUAAUAAAUUAAUAAUACUAAUCUGCAUUCUCAUGCCAUUCAUAGAUUUAAUUGUUUAUAUAACUACUUUUUUUUUUUGGUUUAGUCAAUUGAUUACAAGAUAAGGCAUUGGGAUCAACCAACCCAACCAGUUCAACAAGUAAAACAACAAUAGCGAAACAAUGCCAAAACAUGAAAGAGUACAACAAUAAUCCCCCAACAAUGAAACCAAAAUGCUCCACACAAAAUUAACAACGAGAAACCAACAAAAAAUGAAUCCACCAUUGCACCAAUUGCUUGACAUGUGAUUUCGAUUAGUACCUUAGCCACAACCAAAAAUUACCUCCCAAAAACAAGAACAAGCUCCCAAAAUGACCACAAUUGAAUGCGACAAACAAGCAACCAAUCNNNNNNNNNNNNNNNNNNNNNNNNNNNNNNNNNNNNNNNNNNNNNNNNNNNNNNNNNNNNNNNNNNNNNNNNNNNNNNNNNNNNNNNNNNNNNNNNNNNNNNNNNNNNNNNNNNNNNNNNNNNNNNNNNNNNNNNNNNNNNNNNNNNNNNNNNNNNNNNNNNNNNNNNNNNNNNNNNNNNNNNNNNNNNNNNNNNNNNNNNNNNNNNNNNNNNNNNNNNNNNNNNNNNNNNNNNNNNNNNNNNNNNNNNNNNNNNNNNNNNNNNNNNNNNNNNNNNNNNNNNNNNNNNNNNNNNNNNNNNNNNNNNNNNNNNNNNNNNNNNNNNNNNNNNNNNNNNNNNNNNNNNNNNNNNNNNNNNNNNNNNNNNNNNNNNNNNNNNNNNNNNNNNNNNNNNNNNNNNNNNNNNNNNNNNNNNNNNNNNNNNNNNNNNNNNNNNNNNNNNNNNNNNNNNNNNNNNNNNNNNNNNNNNNNNNNNNNNNNNNNNNNNNNNNNNNNNNNNNNCAGACUCCGGCCCUCGCAAACCAGGCUCCGCCCACGCGCCACGCGCCGCCCUAAGGGCCACCGUAUUCAGAGAUCGAAGAGUUCGAAAAACUCUCGUCUCUUCAGAUCCAAAAACAGGUAGUUCUUUUCCUUCAAAAUACCCUUACUAUUUGCUAACAGUUCAUAUAUGUGCUAAAAAAUAAAGAAUAAGUCACUCGGUUAUCACCUUGAAACUGUUUGUUCUUUUUUUUAUUUCUAUAUUCCUGUUUGUAUAGAGGGUUACAAAGGGCUUUUUAUAGCCAUGUUUAUUACAAAAACUGGGAAAGAAAUCGAAAAUUUCUUUCUAUUUCUUGCUCACUGUGUCUUUGACCGUGAUCUGUUGAGAUUUUUAGUUUCCUUUUCUUGCUCUAUGUAUCUGCUGUGUUUCCUUUUCUUGCAGGUAUCCCGAUGAUCUCGGCGUUAACGACGGUACCAAGGCUAGAGGGGAAGCCUGAGAUCACGGUGCUGGACGGACGCCUUGAUGGCGCGUCAGUGUGCAUUGAUGGCCUCGAUCUGGGGAGUUGCACCGACGCUCCCCGAAGCUUCCAGAAGCUGUUGCGGCGCGAGGGGAAAGAGCUAGGGUUGAAAACCCUAGCUGAUAAUUUUGGGUUUUUUGGGCCUCUGUUAUUUGGGUCUUAGUUUAGGUUUGGGCUUCGAGUGUAUUUGGGCUAAGGUUGUAAUUGUAAUGGGUAUGGGUUAACGAGUCAAUGUAAAUGGACUUUUAUAUGGACAAUUAUUUAUUUAUUUAAUGGGUUUUACAGCCCGGUCAAAUUUGGGCUACUACAACCGGUUGAGACAACUAAUUGGAACAACCAACAAACAUAUGAUUUUUUUUUCAAAAUGUUUAAAGUUUUUAUAGUUUUGCAAAUGAAAUUUCUUAAUUGGAAUUCAACUAUAAAUAAGAAGACAUAAAAUUUAUAAAAUUGUUUAGUAUUAAAUGUUUUUUUGCACAACUCACGCACCGCUAAUAAAAGAAAAUCACCGCCACAUAUGCAUGCAUCCGUGAUAGGCAAUCACUGUGAUUCCAACCCACAAUGUGGAUAUAGGGUGAUUGCCCUUGGCUAAUAAACUAAAUAUUAGGGUUCGGUUAAUUAGUAAAUGCUAAUUCUAUUAAAAUUUAAAUUCUUUAAUUUUUAAUAUUAUAUAAAUUAAAUUUAUUUAUUUAAUAUUUAGACUAAUUUGAUCUAAUCAUAAUGAAUUUACUUGCCAUAUAAUAACAUGGCCAGAAGUACAAAGGAACAGAGAAAUCAUCAGAAAAGCACAAUUUAUUAAUUUAAAUUUCUUUAUAUAAUAUAUGCCCGAGGAAGGAAGCCUUUUAGUUUAGGACACUGCAAAUUGUAGGAUAUGCUAUAUAUAGACCAAUUAAUUUAUUUAGAUACAGGCAAUAUGCAAAGGGUAAGUAAAAGUAAGGAUGGCAUGAGUUUCAGAAUCCACCGCCUCGCGCGCCAGCACCUUCGCUUCCUCUUCCGUUAUAAACUAGCAGGUAUAGCAAGGGUAUGUUGGUGGAUAUUCUUGAUCAGUUUGGCCCCCUCCAAAUUUGGCAGCUUCUAGCUCAGCCUUUGUUUUUUGGGUAGCCGCCUUACCUGCAAAACUCGCAGCAUUAUCAACAUUCAUGUUAGGAUACAUUUCAAUUCAUGAAAUAUAAAUGAGAGGAGAUGAUAACUAAUUAAUUAAUUAAAAAGCCAUGUUGGCUGCUGACCGUUGUUUGUUUCAGUAAGGUCUCUAGCUGCCACUUCCGAAGAAAUGGAAAGAACAAUCACAGAUAAAACAGCAAGGAUGAGAAAACUCUUGCAAACCGAACCCAUUUUUGAUUUUUGUUUUUUAAAUCAAAGUGAACAAUCCUGGAUAAAAGUGUUUGGAGAGUUAAGAAUGCUUAAACAAAGGCAAUCUACGUCUCUAUUUAUACGCCCCAAUCAUCAACUUAUAUGCAUAGAUAAGAAAAUGUGUGAGCGUAAUUAAACAUAAAGAUUUGCCUGUCGACCACGCAAUGCAGCUGGCAGUUGAAGAGUCGCCAAACUAUUCAACUUGGACUUUGGAAAGUGAUUGGACCAAAAAGUGGAAGUAGCAAAGUUUAUGCCUCUCACUAACGUAACUCUACAUGAAUAUUAUUAAAUCACGAUUUGUGAUGGAUGUGGAAAUGCUCUCAUCUGAAAUUGCUAGUCACAAAACCGGUGAACCUCUAACAUCCGGGAUAGGCUACCAAGAAAAUGAGAUUGAGGGAGGAUGAUCCGCCAAAAACCGUGGUGGUUUAUGAUGGACCUCGUAUGUCCUUUCAACAUAAACUAGUGAAUGGAGAGAUAUAUGUUCUCGCAGGUUUCGAGCAUGGUAUCUGACUGUUGGAGGACGAUAUCAAAAAAAAGAUACUAUGAAGGGUGUCCCAUUGAUACGAUUCUCGGAUCGCCUCCACUUCUUGAUAGAAAAAAAAGUGUGAUCAAGACGGUGAUUUUUUUUAAAAAAAAUUGUCACAAAAUAGGUUUUAAUGCUCUUUAAAAUAAUACUUUCGUCUGAUGGAAGCCAUCCUUUAACUUUCAAUUAAUGAAUUUGGAGAACAACUACAUGGCAAAAUUUGCUCCGAUUGAGGAUUAUAAAGUGCUUGCAGGCGGGCUGUGAGUAAUAUUUGAGUAUUGUAUGACGGUUCAGACAUCAUAGUUUCCCGUAUCUAAAGACCGGUGGAAUGGAGAGAUCUACAAGACUUAGGUAACUCAAUAUUAAAUCAUGAUUUGUGUAUUUGUAUACUACUUAUAUAUUUUAUCAUAGGUUAAAUACGCUUUUUAAGUCCUUAUGCUUUUAUUUUGUGGAAUAUAAUUCCUCAUUUUUUUAUUUUAAAAAAUUUAGUCUAUUUAUUUUUUAAAUUUAAAAAUGUAAAUUCAGCCGUUAAUAAUGUUAAGAAUUUUUUAUUAAAUUUAAGUUUUUUAUAAAGUUAUUUUUUAUUGUAUGACUAUUAAUUUUAUUCUAUUUUAAAAUAUUACACGAACAAAUUUAAUAAAAACAAUUUAAUAAAAUUAACAAUUUAAUCCGAAAUUUUUUAAAAAAUAGAAACUAAAAGUAUUUUGAAAACUUGGUGGAUGGAAUGGAAAAAGGAGAAACAGAAAGAAUAUAAUUUUAAGAGCUCCUUGGUACAAUAAAAAAUGGAAUGAAAGAAAAUGAAAGGGAUGAGACUUCUUUCGCACCAUUUGUCCAAAUUGAGGGAAAGAAAAGUUUAAAUUAUGUGAUUUUAAGUAUAAACAUAUAAAAUUGCUCUCGAUUAAAGUAAAAUACCUAAUUUAAUGGGAGGGAUUCACUAAUAUUUAGGGUAAAAUUUAGGUAGUUUUACAUUAUAUAUUUAUAUUUUUUUUAUGAUUAGUAUUUUAGUAAUUUAAUUAUUGAACUUAUCAAUACAAUAAUAUUUGUCAUACAUGUAAAAUUUUUAAUUAAUCUGAUAUCUCUAUCAUAUCGAUCUAAAAUAUUAUCUAUAUCUAUAUAUUUAAUGGUAGAAAGUUUUUGACAUAAAAUAAAUAACUAGAAAAUUUUAAAUUUUGCCAAACUUGUCAUGCAUGAUUUACAUGAAUUGAACAUGAAAUACAACGGUUGAAUUAUUAAAGUAUUGAUCAUAUAAAAAAUUACAAAAAUAUAUAAAACCACUUAAAUUUUACACCUAUUUAAAUUGCUAAUUACAAAACUUGGUAUUUCACUUGGAUGUGAUGGCUCUUGAAAAUUUACUAAUUUUUAUAUUUAGUGAAAUACAACCAACAUUUGAAAUUUGUAUCAUAUUUAAAAUUUUGAAAUUGAAAAUUAUAAUAAAUUAAUAAUACUAAUCUGCAUUCUCAUGCCAUUCAUAGAUUUAAUUGUUUAUAUAACUACUUUUUUUUUUUGGUUUAGUCAAUUGAUUACAAGAUAAGGCAUUGGGAUCAACCAACCCAACCAGUUCAACAAGUAAAACAACAAUAGCGAAACAAUGCCAAAACAUGAAAGAGUACAACAAUAAUCCCCCAACAAUGAAACCAAAAUGCUCCACACAAAAUUAACAACGAGAAACCAACAAAAAAUGAAUCCACCAUUGCACCAAUUGCUUGACAUGUGAUUUCGAUUAGUACCUUAGCCACAACCAAAAAUUACCUCCCAAAAACAAGAACAACUCCCAAAAUGACCACAAUUGAAUGCGACAAACAAGCAACCAAUCUGACACAUUGAUUGAAUUGCAACCCAUUGUUAUUAAAACCUACUCCUUCCAAAUCAACACCUAACCCAUCACUGCAACCUCAUUACUUACCACAAUGAUCGCCCAAUCUUUGACCUCACCUGCACAAUAACCAGAUAAUAAAACCAGAAAACAACCCCAGCAGAAUAAAAAAGAACCCAACCCAGCCCAACCCAGACAAACCCAACCCCUCCUCCAUCCACGUAACAAUUCACCAUUCUUACAAUUCUAAUUACUCCAACUCAUACCUCGAAAGCAAAACCAACACACAAUGAACAUAAAAAUAACCGUGAGCAGUAAGCAAACCAAAAAAAUAUACAGAAAUCCUACUCCAAUUUAGACAACUGUUAACAUUAAUGGGAGACAACAUUAAUGGCAAACAAUACAAAGUGGUGCAAGUUUAGCACCCUAAAGUUGACUUUGAAAAAGUGGCAUGGGAUAAUUUUUUUUUGGUCCUUGAGAUAAUGGGCUAUUUAUUGUUUGGUCCUUAAACCUCAACUAUAAAUAGGCCUUCUCAUUUCUCAUUUCAAUUCAUCCCAACCAAUCUUUCUCUCUUAGUUUUCUCUCUUCUCCCAUUUGAGAAUUCUUAAGGAAUUCUAUUUGUUUGUAAUACUUUGGAGAUAGUAAAGUUAUCAUCUGGUGUUAGUGCCCGAGGACGUAGGUAUAAUUUACCGAACCUCGUUAAAUCUCUUGUGUUCUUUCUUGUCCUAUUUUUGUUUCAAUAUUUGAGGGUAUAAUAGUAGUAUUUAAUUGUGCUAUUAAAUUAUUAUAGAAGGGAUAUUCUGUCUAAGGAAAGACUUGGUAUUUAAGAGAUCUAUGUGAUCCACCUCUCUUCCCUGGGAAUUGAACUUUGUGUGAUUUUUUAGUACAAUAAUUUACACGCUUCUGACUCUAUUGAACAACAAGUGGUAUCAAGAGCCGAAGGUUAAUCGUAGUAUGCUCUGUGGUUGCAGUUUAAACUGAUCUUCCACAUCAGAAAAGAUUUCCUUAGGUAUAUUGAAAGAUUAUGGAGAAAACGGUCGGUGUAGGAGCUUCAACAUCGUCUAUAUGGAUAAGACCGACAAUUGCAAAUGCAAGAUUGGCCGUGGAGAUCUUUGAUGGCACGGGCCAUUUUGGUAUGUGGCAAAGUGAGGUUCUAGAUGCCCUUUUUCAGCAGGGUCUAGACAUUGCCAUUGAUGAAGAGAAACCAGAUGAUGUACAGGAGAAAGAUUAGAAGGCGAUCAAUCGGUUGGCAUGUGGCACAAUUCGAUCAUGCCUUUCUCGAGAGCAGAGGUAUGCUUUUUCAAAGGAGACUUCUGCAAAUAAGUUGUAGGUGGCACUUGAAGAAAAUUUUUUGAAGAAAAACAGUCAAAAUAAGCUCCACUUGAAGAAAAGACUGUUUCGCUUCACUUACGUCCCAAGUACCACAGUGAAUGAUCACAUCACCAAAUUUAAUUAGUUAGUCACUGAUUUGCUGAAUAUGGAUGAGACAUUCAAAGAUGAAGAUUUGGCUUUGAUGCUGUUGGGGUCACUUCCUGAGGAGUUUGAGUUCCUAGAAACUACUCUACUUCAUGGCAGGAGUGAUAUAUCUCUGAGCGAAGUCUGUGCGGCCUUAUACAGUUAUGAACAGAGAAAGAAGGACAAACAGAAAAACUCAAUCAGAGAUACAGAAGCUUUAGUAGUCCGAGGUCGUUCAUACACUCGGAAGAAAACUCAAAAGGGGAGAUCAAAGUCAAAGUCCAGACUCGGGAAAGAUGAAUGUGCUUUUUGUCAUGAGAAAGGCCACUGGAAGAAAAAUUGUCCAAAGCUGAAGAAUAAGGGAAAAGCUGCUGUAGAUGCUUGUGUUGCUAAGCAUGAUACUAGUGACUCUGAACUAUCACUGGUUGCAUCAUCAUCGUCGUUCCAUUCAGAUGAGUGGAUAUUGGAUUCGGGUUGUACCUAUCAUAUGCCCCUAACCGGGAGUGGUUCUCUGAUUUAGUAGAACUAAAUGGAGGAGUUGUUUAUAUGGGCAAUGACAAUGCCUGUAAAACUGUUGGGAUAGGUUCAAUCCAAUUAAAGAAUCAAGAUGGAUCAACCAGAGUUCUGACUGAUGUUCGGUACGUGCCCAGUUUGAAGAAAAAUCUCAUCUCAUUGGGAGCCUUGGAAUCCAAUGGUUCAGUUGUUACUAUGAGAGAUGGGAUUUUGAAAGUGACAUCUGGCGCACUUGUGAUAUUGAAGGGCAUCAGGAAAAAUAACUUGUAUUACUACCAAGGUAGUACAGUUAUUGGAGCAGUCGCUGCAGCUUCCGGCAACAAAGAAUUGGACUCAAUCCAGUUGUGGCAUAUGAAGUUGGGACAUGCCAGCGAAAAAUCCUUGCAAAUUCUGGCAAAGCAAGGAUUGUUGAAAGGUGCAAAGGCUUGCAAAUUAAAAUUUUGCGAGCAUUGUGUUCUGGGAAAGCAAAAGAGAGUGAAAUUCGGUACUGCUAUCCAUAAUACAAAAGGUAUUUUGGAAUAUGUUCACUCAGAUGUGUGGGGGCCUUCCAAGACACCUUCAUUGGGAGGAAAACACUACUUUGUUACUUUUGUUUGAUGACUUUUCCAGAAGAGUUUGGGUGUAUACCAUGAGAACUAAGGAUGAAGUGCUUAGAGUUUUUCUUAAAUGGAAAACUAUGAUCGGAAACCAGACUGGCAAGAAAAUCAAGCGGCUUAGGACGGACAAUGGAGGGGAAUAUAAAAGUGAUCCGUUCUUCGAUCUGUGCCAAGAGUAUGGUAUUGUUCGACACUUCACAGUUAGGGAUACACCACAGCAGAAUGGAUUGGUAGAGCGUAUGAAUCGAACAUUGCUGGAGAAAGUUCGAUGUAUGUUGUCCAAUGCUGGGUUGGGCAAGCAAUUUUGGGCUGAGGCUGUGACAUACACUGGCCAUCUUGUUAAUCAUUUGCCAUCAUCUGCAUUAGAAAGAAAAACUCCUAUGGAGGUAUGGUCUGGAAAAUCGGGUACAGAUUAUGAUUCCUUACAUGUGUUUGGAUCCACUGCAUAUUACCAUGUGAAGGAGUCAAAGUUAGAUCCGAGGGCAAAGAAAGUUCUCUUUAUGGGAAUCACUUCUGGAGUGAAGGGAUUUUGUCUUUGGUGCUUAAGCACAAAGAAAAUGAUCUGUAGCAGAGAUGUUACCUUUGAUGAAUCUGCCACAUUGAAAAAGGUAGCAGAUAAAGAUAUUCAGACGAGCAAUACUCCACAGCAGGUGGAGUGUACUCCAAAACAGGUGGAGUUUGAGCAGAUGGGGAUUUGCCCAGUUAAUAAGUCUAAUUCUCCAGCCACAAUGGAGGAAUUAGAGGUUGAAGAGGUUCUGACCCAAGAACCACUAAGUACACCAGAACCAGUUGCAGUUGCAAGGCCACGGAGAGAAAUUUGUAAACCUGCUCGAUUUACUGAUAUGGUGGCCUACGCCCUUCCCGUUGUUGAUGAUAUUCCUAUCACUUAUCAAGAAGCAAUGCAAAGCUUAGAAAGUGAUAAAUGGAAAAGCGCAAUGGAUGAAGAAAUGCAGUCUCUCCGGAAGAACAAUACUUGGGAGUUGGUGCAAUUACCGAAAGGUAAAAGGGCAAUCGGAUGCAAGUGGGUAUUCGAAAAGAAAGAUGGAUCUCCUAGCAAGAAGGAUAUUCGCUACAAGGCAAGAUUGGUAGCUAAAGGCUACGCUCAGAAGGAGGAAAUUGACUACAAUGAUGUAUUUUCCCCUGUUGUGAAGCAUUCCUCCAUUAGAAUUUUGUUGGCCUUGGUAGCACAGUUGAAUUUGGAGCUAGCUCAACUUGAUGUUAAGACGGCUUUCUUGCAUGGUGAGUUAGAAGAGGAGAUCUAUAUGACUCAGUCCGAAGAAUACACAAAUGCUGGUGGUAGAAAUUGGGUUUGUAAGCUGAACAAAUCGCUAUAUGGAUUGAAGCAAUCCCCGAGGCAGUGGUACAAGCGAUUUGAUAGCUUUAUGAGAAGGCAGAAGUACACAAGAAGCAAAUAUGAAAAUUGUGUAUAUUUGCAGAAGCUGCAUGACGGAUCUUUCAUUUAUCUACUCUUGUAUGUUGAUGAUAUGUUAAUCGCUUCGAAGAGCCAAAAUGAGAUAGAUAAGCUGAAGGCUCAGUUGAAUCAAGAGUUCGAGAUGAAAGAUCUAGGUGAGGCCAAGAAGAUUCUCGGCAUGGAGAUAAGUAGAGAUAGACCGAGAGGCAAGCUCUGUUUAAAUCAGAAGCAAUAUCUGAAAAAGGUAUUACAAUGUUUUGGUGUAAAUGAAAACACAAAACAUGUAAGUACCCCACUUGCUUCUCAUUUGAAACUUAGUGCUCAAUUAUCUCCGAAGACUGAAGAUGAAAGAGAAUAUAUGGCGAAAGUCCCAUAUUCUAAUGCAGUUGGGAGUUUGAUGUAUGCGAUGGUGUGUACGAGGCCUGACAUUUCACAAGCUGUUGGAGUUGUGAGCAGGUAUAUGCAUGAUCCUGGAAAAGGACAUUGGCAAGCUGUGAAAUGGAUUCUACGGUAUCUUCGAAAAACCGUAGAUGUUGGUUUAAUUUUUGAACAGGAUGAAGCACUAUGUCAGUUUGUAGUUGGAUAUGUUG